AGCUCUAUAAGGGAAACCCACAUACCUUAGGGAGAAAGUGAAGCUUACUGCCUUGAUGAAUACAUAGUUGAACAGAAUCUAGUUUGCAGAAAGAGCACAUCUUUUCUAAAUAGGAAAGAUGCCAAUUUCAUAAAUAAUGAUGGUGUGGCACAUAUAACAUGGUGAUAUACACACUCACAACUUCCCAACCUACAAAACCGUAUCCAUAACAGAUAUCAAAGAUCAAAAUACAACGAACCUAUUAACUUGAAAAAAAAAAAGAUCAAAAGGAAUCUGCCACAUGAUAGUGAUUGCAUUCUGAAGCUUUGAAGCCUAAAAACUAUCGGUACAGUGUAACCAACCAGAGUCAUGGAGAAACAAAGAUUGUUGCCGGGCAUUCAUAUCACUCCCAUAAUCCAUAACAUAUCACUCCCAACCCUGCUGGCUGAUGUCUUCUUCUAUAAGCUCCGAUGUACCUAAUCCGAAUAACAAUUAUCUUCGAAUUAAGGAAAAAUGUCGCAUGCAAGAGGGUACAGAAAAGUAAACCAGAUAUCAUACGUCACGAACGUCAAUUCGAUCCAAUUAACAUGUGUACAACAGGAUCAUCCUCAUAAUUCAUGCAAUCAGAUUUGCAAAUUGCCACGUUGGUUGUUGUGG
rnacentral:lncRNA from 1 species